rnacentral:misc_RNA from 1 species
GAUGAAGAACGCAGCGAAAUGCGAUACUUGGUGUGAAUUGCAGAAUCCCGUGAACCAUCGAGUCUUUGAACGCAAGUUGCGCCCGAAGCCAUUAGGCCGAGGGCACGCCUGCCUGGGCGUCACACGUCGUUGCCCCCCCAUCUACUCCUUCGGGAUUGCGGGGGGCGGAUGAUGGCCUCUCGUGCGCCUCGUCGCGCGGUUGGCCUAAAUGCCAAGUCCUCGGCGACGCACGCCACGACAAUCGGUGGUUGCGAAACCUCGGUUGCCUGUCGUGUGCGGUCGUCGCGCAUCGAGGGCUCGAAAAAGUUGCCGGGCUUCGGCUCGACUUUCAACGCGACCCCAGGUCAGGCGGGGUUACCCGCUGAAUUUAAGCAUAUCAAUAAGCGGAGGA